CGAUUUUUCAUUCUAUGCAAUUCUAUGCAUUAUACGAUUUUAAUUCUUUGCAAUUCUAUGCACUACGAUUUUCAUUCUUUUCAAUUCUAUGUACUAAAAUUUUAAUUCUUUGCAAUUCUAUGCAUUAUACGAUUUUAUUUCUUUGCAAUUCUAUGCACUAAGAUUUCAAUUCUUUGCAAUUCUAUGCACUACAAUUUUAAGUCAUUGCAAUGUGGUUUUAUUCUGUGCAAUAUAAUCUGAAAUAUGUACUCGGACAAUUGCAGUUGUCCAAUUGGGGAGUAUAGUCGACCUUUGGCUAUAAGAUGUGUAUGUAAACGUACUGACUGUACAGUAAAUGCUAUUGUGUUGGGAGCGUUUCACCUGGUAGCCUGGAAGCUAGUUUGCUCCAACGCAACUGUGUUGGGAGUGUUUCACCUGGUAGCCUGGAAGGUAGUUUGCUCCAACGCAACUGUGUUGGGAGCGUUUCACCUGGUAGCCUGGAAGCUAGUUUGCUCCAACGCAACUGUGUUGGGAGUGUUUCACCUGGUAGUUUCACCUGUGUUGGGAGCUUUCACAAAGUAGCCUGGAAAGUAGUUUGCUCCAACUCAACUGUGUUGGGAGAGUUUCACCUGGUAGUCUGGAAGGUAGUUUGCUCCAACGCAACUGUGUUGGGAGCGUUUCACCUGGUAGCUUAGAAGCUAGUUUUCUCCAACGCAACUGUGUUGGGAGCGUUUCACGAAGUAGCCUGGAAAGUUGUUUGCUCCAACGCAACUGUGUUGGGAGCGUUUCACCUGGUAUUCUGGAAAGUAGUUUGCUCCAACGCAACUGUGUUGGGAGCGUUUCACCUGGUAGCCUGGAAGCUAGUUUGCUCCAACGCAACUGUGUUGGGAGCGUUUCACCUGGUAGCCUGGAAGCUAGUUUGCUCCAACGCAACUGUGUUGGGAGCGUUUCACCUGGUAGCCUGAAGCUAGUUUGCUCCAACGCAACUGUGUUGGGAGCGUUUCACCUGGUAGCCUGGAAGGUAGUUUGCUCCAACGCAACUGUGUUGGGAGCGUUUCACCUGGUAGCCUGGAAGCUAGUUUGCUCCAACGCAACGGUGUUGUGAGCGUUUCACCUGGUAGCUUGGAAGGUCGUUUUCUCCAACGCCACUGUGUUGGUAGCGUUUCACCUGGUAGACUGGAAGGCAGUUCUCUCCAACACAACUGUGUUGGGAGCGUUUCGCCUGGUAGCUAACCUGUGUGUUGUAUUUAUUCAUAUUACUUAAUUGUCUAGCAUCUGCAUUAGCUAGCUAUAGCUGCUGUAUACGGGGAAUGGGUUAGCCUAGCGAUUUUUAGUACUUGCACUUGGUCCUAUGAACAUCAACACCGGCAGAUUCAGAUUUGUAGUACUGCAAAUUUAAAUUUUUGACAAAUUUUCCAUUUCAAUAUUUUGUCAAAUUUCACAAAGUCCAUUCCAAGAUAUGUACGAACUUCAGCAAUGGAGGCAAGUAAGGUUUAUCACUUUCUAUGGCAAUUUACUUGAGUUAAAUUAUUUGCUCUAUAAAAACAUAUGGUUCUCACUGUACCAUAAUCAUCUUGCUAGAUAUACCUCAUGCUGUCCUUUAUAUUACUUAUUUGCAAGGAAUUUAAGCAUUGACAAUUAUUUAUGAACGUUGAACCAUGAAAGAAUUGAAUUAUUUUUGUUCAGGGGUAGGGUUUGCCCCUGAACAUUUAAUUUCAAGAUCAGUGUUCUACAGCGUUUGUCAAAUUCAGGACUGGCACUGGAUGCUGUAGGUGGAGGGAAGACCAGGAAUGGUGCAGCUCUGCAGAUGCUGAAGGGGUCACGUGUGUUCCUGAUGGGACUGAGGCGACGCAGUCGGAGGUCCCUGCGGUGGCGGUCAGCGGGAGGUGUCAAGACCAACCAGCUCCUCGUCCAGGAAAGGUCACGACGGAAGAGCAGAUGGCUGUGCAGUUGCCAUGGUGGAGAGACCCAGAGUAUGAUGACCGAACAGUUGAUCUACAACGAUGUCCUACUCCCCAUCCACCCUGAGGAUCCCUGGCUGCACCUACAAUCCAAUCUACCCCAGACAUAACCACUCGGAGCUCAACAUCUCCUACAACUCCUCCUGCCUCCUACACACCAUACUGUUACCACUUUACCAUUUUAACUUUAAAAAAAAAGCACUGUAAUUCACACCAUGUUGUAGGAAAAGCAUGUUUAGCUCAAUGAUUUAUACAUUCUAUUUCUGUGACCCCAACUAUUGUAUUUCUAACCCAGUUACCUCUGAACCCUCUUUCUAAGGGAGCGACUAAAGGGACAAAGCUGGACCAAACCUGAGCUUAAAAAUCUUUUUAAUCUUUCUUUCAAAUGUCCUAAAUUGAAACGUAUAAAAUGCCUAAAGUAACUUGUCUAACAAAACAAAAAGCCAACCUAAUACCCAAACUUAACCAUCUAACCAAAGAUCUCAAAUGCCUAAACUCUCUUACCUUAACCGAGUACCUAAACCAAACCAUUUAACUAAACAUCUCAAAGGCAUAAACUCGCUUACCUCAACCUAACCUAAUACCCAAACUUAACCAUCUAACUGAAGAGCUCAAACACCUAAACUCUUACCUUAACCUAGUACCUAAACUGAACCAUCUAACUAAGCAUCUCUAAUAACUAAACUCUUUCCUAAUACCUAAACAAUCUUUAAUACAAUCACUAAUGCCUAAACUUAAACAAACACCAAUAAUAAAAGUUAACCAUCCUUAAUCUUAAACCCAAACCAGACUUGUCCCUGGGUCGCUCCACUUUGUUUCUUUAAAGGCAUCUCUUUUCCCCUGCAUCUGUGUUUUAUUCCUUGAGGACUCCAAGUACUUCAGAUGAUAUUUGAAAACUUGUUUAAUUAAUAAUGAGAUUAAUUUGGAGUGUGAAAAACAGAUGCGAAGUGAAGACCACUCUGUUUGUUGUGCUUUUCUUAUUACAUUAUAUAGUGUGGCAACUCAUGGAUAACCGGCCAGAACCCCAUCACCAUUUGAAUAUGAUGUGCAUGUAUUUACCUGUAUGUCAAUUGUGGCACCCAUUGCACUCCUGACCAUCCCUGGAAGAAGGGAUCCCCUACACUGCGUUUCUUCUCAAGAUUUCUUCCUUGCUGAUUCAAGGGAGUUUUUUCUUGCCCGUGCGGGGGCAUGGGUAAAGGGGGGUGUCACAAAUAUUUGGCCUGUUAAGCCCUUUGAGACUGUAAUGGUGAUUAAGGGCUAUACAAAUAAAAUUGAAUUGAAUAAAGAUACUUCAUCUUUACAGAUUUUGUUUUGGGGAAUUGGGACAGCUGAGCAGCUUAAGCAUCCUUACUGGUGAAUCUGAUCUGACGAUAUCAAUCAUAGGACUAUGAAGCUGCAGAGUUCUUCCAAGAAAGGGUUCCAAUCCAGGAUAGCUUUUAACACACAAGUAUUUCGGUAUGGUAAUUACGGAGCAAAAGGAGGUGGAAGCGUGUUGAGCACGUGCUGAGCGUCUCCCAGCAGAUCAAAAACAUUAACCCUUUGUCUGGCAGCAGCUAGAAGAUUCUGAAGUCCAACUUCUCUGUCGAGAUUGAACUGAAAUGCAAUGCACAACAUGCAAUUUGUCCUUAUCUCCAUUUUUAAAACUUUUUAUAUUUUUUAUUAUUACUAUUUAUUGUGCUGCGCCCUCUCUCUCGAUCUCUCUCUUUGUAUUAAUACUGUACUUGACUUGGGAAGCCCUGCACAAGAAUUCCAAUGUGUUUGAACUGUCUGGUUUAUGCACAAAUGGCGAAUACAAUUAUUUGAACCUUUUUUUUAUACUUUUUGAGAUUGAUAUGGUCAGGUGGGCGUGGCCUAUAUGAAGUGGGCGUGGCCUAUGUGACGUAUUAGCCUCGGCUUCACCUAUCUAAAGGUGCCGCCUUCUGUGUGGUUGGAGCAGCUAUUGCAGCCUUCAAUAAGGUCCUGCUCCCCUUGUGGCUAUGUAUAGUAUUUACGGCUUAUAUGUUUGGUCCUGCUUCCUUGGGGCUAUGUGGGGGCAGCUCAGGUUCUUAAAAUACGUAACGAAGCCAAUAACAUAAGGCUGAAUAUGUGAAAAGACAAGGUAGAUAAUGAUCGAGGAGUAAACAACGAAUUGAUUGCUAAAUAUCUAACAUGGAACCAAAUGCCUAUUUAUUUGAUCUUAUUUGAGUCGCUUUGGAUAAAAAUGCCCUAAUUGUAAUUGUUACCAGGCUAUCGCAGUAGGGGAAUCUGAAGGAGUGCCAUACAGUGUUGCAGGGGUUCUUGCUAGAUUGCAUUAUGGCUGAGGCCAUUGAUUACGAUUGUUAAUUUGAAGAGUAUGAAUAAAGAGUAAUUGAAGUGGA
ensembl:lncRNA